AAGGAUAUUUGGGUAGUUAGAUGUAGAGGCAAUUAAAAACCUGCUGGGUGGGCUUUUUUACUCAAAGGUCUGGACCCUGAUUUGGAAGAUAGAGGUUGAUUCUCUUUGUGGUGCUUACAAAUGUUCUAGCAUGGAGUAGAAAGGGAAUGUGAAGCCAGACUUUUCAGAACAGACUGUCCAUGGAUUUUUAGUCUCCAUGUGUUUUACACUCAUUGACAGAUGGCCAAGAAAUUACUUAAAAAAAAAAAAAAUCAGCUGUAAAACUGACUUAGGAGAACAAUCUGGACACAAGCAAGCUUGAUCACACAGGGAAGUGAGUCUGGUGGUGGACUGUCAUAGAACUCCAUCUCUUGUCUCUUUAGCCAGUUCCUUCUGUAUUCUCUCUUUGCUGAUCCUGUUCACAGCCACCAGUAGCCAGCCAGGCCAGAGACUCUGGAAUCCUCUUUGACUGCUCUUCCUCAUCCACACACUUGCCAAGUACCUCAGGGGAAACUGACCUUGCGUGGCCAGAAUUCCAUCACUCUACCACCUCAAACACUGGUGCACAAGUAAGCAUAUGAGGGAAUUAAGCCUUGGAGAACCCAACCUGUGAAACUUCCUUGAGCUGGUAAAUGGAAGAAUGGGGAUGUAAAGCCAGGUCUGGGUGAUUUGAGAGGCCACGCCUUUAAUUGUGAUGUCAUGUUGCCUGGGAGCACUAAAUCAGGCCAAAUGGGAUGGAGACAGGAAUUUAGAACUCCUGAAUUUCAGACUGGUCUGCACCUGUUUUAUCUGGCUAGUCAAUGUAAAUGUAGUUUUGGAAUUAGAGAAUUUGGUAGCACAACCACUGCAAAUCAGAGAUGCUUGGAUUCUUCUUAAUCCACCUCUGUCACUGAGUGACUGUAUCAGCCUGCACACUUUAUUUUCUCUGAGCCCUGAUUUCUAUCUCUUUAGCCUGGGAAGUAUAUAAAUUUCACUCUCUCUGUCAUAGGUUUUGAGGAGUAAGCCAAAUUGUAUGUAGUAAGAGUACAAAAAAAGCAUGCAUUAUCAUUAUUUUGUGAUUUUCUCAUCCCUUCUUACUGCUUUCCACACCUGGUAACUCUAAAUUAUAAUAAUGAGAGGCAUCUAUUUUUGUUGCUGCUAUUAAUCUUAUAUAAAGAGAUAGGAUUGAUUAUCCAUUAAUUGGGGAAGAAGUAAGAAAAAGGCAAAAUAUUCUGGGGUUCAUGCUCAUUUUCGGAAACUUGAUAACUGAGUACUAGAAUACGACUUUGGAACUGACCUCAAUAGAACAGGCUGUGCCAGCAAGAAAAACCCUAUUUAAAAAAGGGGAGAUAUUCCAUUUCAGUUUUCUCAUUUGUAAGAUGUAGAGUAGAAUAAAGAUUCCUUUUCACUCACCCCCUCAAAAAAAAAAAAAAAAAAAAAA